rnacentral:rRNA from 1 species
GGAGUUAGCCGGUGCUUCUUCUGCGAGUAACGUCACAGAUGUAAGGUAUUAACUUACACCCUUUCCUCCUCGCUGAAAGUGCUUUACAACCCGAAGGCCUUCUUCACACACGCGGCAUGGCUGCAUCAGGGUUUCCCCCAUUGUGCAAUAUUCCCCACUGCUGCCUCCCGUAGGAGUCUGGGCCGUGUCUCAGUCCCAGUGUGGCUGAUCAUCCUCUCAGACCAGCUAGGGAUCGUCGCCUAGGUGAGCCUUUACCUCACCUACUAGCUAAUCCCACCUGGGCUUAUCCAUCAGCGCAACGGCCCGAACGGUCCCUGUCCUUUCCCCCGGUAGGGCGUAUGCGGUAUUAGCAGUCGUUUACCAACUGUUACUCCCCCACAAAUGGGACAAACUUCCCAGGCAUUACUCACCCGUCCGCCGCUCGUCAUCUUACAAAACGCAAGUCUUUUAGAAAUGUUACCGCUCGACUUGCAUGUGUUAGGCCUGCCGCCAGCGUUACAAUCUGACGCCAUGAUACAAACUCUAGA